AGGAGAGAAGGGAGGGCGGGAGGGAGCGGCUGCAGUUCGUUUACCCAGCUUUCAUCUGUUUGUUCAGCAAGUACUUAUGGAGCCCACUGUAUGCAGGGCCGGCAGCACAGGUUCCUGCCCUCAGGGCGCAGACCCUCUGGUCAAGAGCAAUUGUGACGUCAACUGGUAAAGGGGAGGAAAGAUGAAGCCAGAGACGGGCUGCCGGGAGGAGGGGUCAGCCGACCAGGCAGGGCUUUUGCACCAGGAGAUCAGGAAUCCGCAUCUCUGCCUCCAAGAGAGAAAUGAAGCACGCCGGGGCCGGGAGACCUCAGGGCCUCCCCCACGCCCUCCCUCCAAAGGGGCCUUCAUCCUGAGCUUGGCCUUCAGGACCCUGUGUGUGACGUCACAGUGUGACCUUGCCGACCUCUGUGUGUCCCUGGGCAGGUCACUUAACCUCUCUGUAAGGAUGUGGGAUUUUAACUCCCCGACCAGGAGCUCCCCUGCAUGGGAAACACCGAGUCUCAGCUACUCGACCACCAGGGAAGUCCCUCAACAACUUUUUUGAGCACCUACUAAACUCCAGUCUGCAGGGAUAUGGAAACGAAGAAAACAGGCAAAAAUCUCUGUAGAUAUUCUGUUAGUAGAGACAGCCAUCAGAGAUAGUGUGAGUCAAGCUAAGAUUCUCAGGGGCCCAGGUUGUUGGGGGUGGGUGGACAGGGGAGGCCCUGCCUGCCUCAGUCUGGGCACUUGGGGAAGGCUGUGCGUUCAGACCAGAGGAUGUAGCCAGGUGAAGAGUGGGUGGGGGUGUCCUAGGCGCCAGGGCUGGCCCCUGCAGCAGGUGGGGGAGUGGGCGGGGCAGUUGGGGGACCCACCUCUGGCUUGGCCUGGAUGGGGGCAGGGAGAGAGAGGGCAGGGGGGAGCUGGAAAAGGCCUGACCCAACUUAGGUUUUACCGUUGCUCCAGCCACUGCGUGGAGCCGGGACUGGGGGACCACGGUGGCUGGAGGCAGGCAGACGGGAGGGGAGCCUGGAGUCCUGUCCACCCAUCAGAGAACAGGAGGGAGGUCAAGUAACCCCGGAGAUAGGCUCAGGAUGUGGCAGCUGUGGAUUUCUCCCUUCUUCUGGGGAACUGGAUCAGGCAUCAGCAUCACCUCCAGCAUCACCUCCAACAUCAUCCUCCAGCAUCACCUCCAGCAUCACCACCAUCACCUCCAGCAUCACCACCAUCACCUCCAGCAUCACCUCCAGCAUCACCUCCAACAUCAUCCUCCAACAUCACCUCCAGCAUCACCUCCAAAUUCAUCCUCCAGCAUCACCUCCAGCAUCACCACCAUCACCUCCAGCAUCACCACCAGCAUCAUCACCAUCACCUCCAACAUCACCACCAAGACAACACUUGGGCAGUGGCUGUCGGCCAUUGCACUGCUCACUCCUGUCUGGCCAGGCACUUCCGAGAUGGGACCUCCUUGCAGUUCCACAUGGCGUGACGUCCCAGGAGGGUGUUCAUAGCACAUUUAGCACCAGCCCAAGAUUGAAAUCAGAGAAGGCAACGGCACCCAACUCCAGUACUCUUGCUUGAAAAAUCCCAUGGAUGGAGGAGCCUGGUAGGCUGCAGUUCAUGGGGUCGCUGAGGGUUGGACACGACUGAGCGACUUCACUUUCACGCAUUGGAGAAGGAAAUGGCAACCCACUCCAGUGUGGAGAUUCCCAGGGACAGGGGAGCCUGGUGGGCUGCCAUCUAUGGGGUCACACAGAAUCGGACACGACUGAAGUGACUUAGCAGCAGCAGCAGCAAGAUGGAGAUAAGCCCAGUGGUACAUCACCUGUCACCCGUCAAGACCACCAGAUCCAUCCAGAAAGCAGAGGGAGGGGCCGGAUGGUGAAGGAUUUUGGAGCACAGACCUGGGAGCCCGCCUGCCUGAGUCUGAGUCCUACCUCUGCCAAGCACAGCUGUGUGCCACUGGGGAGGCGCCUUGACACUCCAGGCCUCAGUUUCCCCAUCUACAAAAUGGAGAUUAGAACCUCCUGAUAGGAUCGCUUCACCUUUCUGAUGCAUUCAUUAAUCCAUGUAAAGCAUCUGGAACCAUGCCCAGCACACAGUAAAUCCUUUGGAAACCUUUGCUGCCGUUAUUAUUAUUGUGAACAUUAUGGUUAUUAUUCCUCGGCAAAGUGAAAGUCACUCAGUCGUGUCCAACUCUUUGCGACCCCAUGGACUGUAGCCCGCCAGGCUCCUCUGUCCAUGGAAUUCUCCAGGCAAUAAUACUGGAGUGGGUUGCCAUGCCCUCCUUCAGGGGAUCUUCCUGACCCAGGGGUUGAACCCAGGUCUCCCGCAUUGCAGACAGAUUCUUUGCUGUCUAGUGGUGGAAAUAUGGGUUCAUCCUAGGGAGAAAAGGCAGGCCCAAAUGUAAAGCGGGCUGCCAGUUGGAGGAAAAGGCAAGAAGACCAACUCGAUUGUGUGCGUAGCUGCUCGCAGCCUCUCAGGAGAUCUGAGACACUGCAAACACUGGAUUUGGUGCAGGGAGUGUGGACUCGCGGGCAGUGGAGAGCCACCCUGACUUUUCACUCUAUGCUUUUACACCCUCUGUGCUGAGUUCCGUGUGUGUGUGUUUCCUCUGUGCGCUUGCAUGUAUAUUCAAAACCAAACAUGCCAG
ensembl:lncRNA